CGCGUAGGUUGUUAAUUAAGUUGUCUGUGAAAUCCCCGGGCUUAACCUGGGCAUGUCAGGCAAAACUGGUUAACUAGAGUACAGUAGAGGGUAGAGGAAUUUCCGGUGUAGCGGUGAAAUGCGUAGAUAUCGGAAAGAACAUCAGUGGCGAAGGCGACUACCUGGACUGAUACUGACACUGAGGUGCGAAAGCGUGGGUAGCAAACAGGAUUAGAUACCCUGGUAGUCC
rnacentral:rRNA from 1 species